rnacentral:rRNA from 1 species
CCUACGGGAGGCAGCAGUGAGGAAUAUUGGUCAAUGGACGUAAGGCUGAACCAGCCAAGUCGCGUGAAGGAAGAAGGAUCUAUGGUUUGUAAACUUCUUUUAUAGGGGAAUAAAGGUAUCCACGUGUGGGUAUUUGCAUGUACCCUAUGAAUAAGCAUCGGCUAACUCCGUGCCAGCAGCCGCGGUAAUACGGAGGAUGCGAGCGUUAUCCGGAUUUAUUGGGUGUAAAGGGUGCGUAGGCGGAAAGACAAGUCAGCCGUAAAAUCCCCGGGCUUAACCCCCGCCCCGCAUUUGAACCUGGUGUUCUUGAGUGGUCGAGAGGCAGGCGGAAUGCGUAGUGUAGCGGUGAAAUGCAUAGAUAUCACGAAGAACUCCAGUUGCGAAGGCAGCAUGCCGGCGCCCAACUGACGCUGAGGCGCGAAAGCGUGGGGAGCAAACAGGAUUAGAUACCCCAGUAGUC